AGCAGCCGCGGUAAUUCCAGCUCCAAUAGCGUAUAUUUAAGUUGUUGCAGCUAAAAAGCUCGUAGUUGAAUUUCGGGAUCAAGGAAUCGGUCAUGCCUUGGUAUGUACUGGUCUUAUUGGUUCUCACCUUCUAAAGAACCAUAAUGUCAUUUAUUUGAUGUUAUGGGGAAUUAGGACUGUUACCUUGAAAAAAUUAGAGUGUUUAAAGCAGGCUCACGCUUGAAUACAUUAGCAUGGAAUAAUGAAAUAGGACGUUUGAUUCUAUUUUGUUGUUUCUAGGAUCGACGUAAUGAUUAAUAGGGAUAGUUGGGGGCAUUAGUAUUCAAUUGUCAGAGGUGAAAUUCUUGGAUUUAUUGAAGACUAACUACUGCGAAAGCAUUUGCCAAGGAU
rnacentral:rRNA from 1 species